AGGUCCCGCCCACCCAGCUCUACGUGCAAUGUCUUAGGAAAAGGUUGUGAGUUGGAUCUCGUUCUUGCCCUUCAGUUCACUUUACUUCUAAGGGGAAGAAAAAAGGUCGAAAUGUUUGGAAGUUUCCAUGACUGGUUUUGGUUUAAAAGGGAAAUCUGCCUAGUAGAACUGGUCCAGCUUUUGGAAUCCGACUCCGCCUGUUCAGCUGCAUUUUCUUGCGUACAUCCAGUUGAACAGCUCCACCCUUUGUUGUAGGUAUUUACCUGUAGAAAAAGUGCGCAAAAGACAUGAAAAUGAGCAAGGGAGCGCAAAAGGGUAAAGUAUCUGAAUAAGAAGCAGACUUUGGGGGAAACGGAGGGAUUCAGGUGUGCAAUUCCAGCCACAGAUAAGAAUUUUAUAAAGGCUCAAUUUUUAAAAAAGAACCCGGCUGAUUCUGUUCCUUAGAAUAAACCGCCUAGGAGGUAUGAAAUUUUAUUGUGUGGCACCACGUCCGUGUCUGUGGAAACUUUGCUGCUGGAGAUGAUGUGCUGGCCCCUGCCCCUGCCUGGCGUGGUGUGGACACGAGGGACGCUGAUGUGGGACUGCUGAGCCCUGGGACUGAGGGACUGAGCCCUGGGUGGGGUCCUGGGGUACGGUAAUCCCUGUGCCUCGGCCUACACCAGGCUUCAGUCCAUCCACAACCACGCUUUGCUUCCCCGUGGCAAAGGUGCAAAAAGGCCCAGGUUAAUGGACGUGUUUCUCUUGGUUAGCAGGGGAGCAUUGAGAGGAAUCAAGCAUCGCUUCAGGGAAAUUCAAGUCCCUGAAUCCAGGGACCCAGAAGAGGCUGCUCCUGUCCUUCCAGUGACGCCAGAGGGCCACUGCAGGCCCUCACCCUCCAGAUGGUCAGUCAUCCCCAUGGCAUUGUCGCCACCUCGUGGCCAUUGUGGCCGUGGCCCACACCAGGCAUACCCGCUAUCCUGCAAGAGCCUGCCUGAGGAGGCUGUGGCAGGAACAUCUGCUCUGUUUUGAUCAACUUCUGAAUGUGGGCACAGUCUCUGCUGAAGGACAGGAACCUAAUUCCGGUAAGGGCAGGUGAGUUUCACAAGGACCAACACUUCUCUCCACUUUUGCUUUUUGUGAUGUUUUUACCUCCCUGACUCUUGCCAGCUGCUCCCUACCCCCCAUUCACUACUUGGACGCCUCAGUUAUGUAGGGCCAUUGUUAAAUAAAGCCCAUUUUCACUGCUUUGACUUGUGCCUGGCUGGUUUAUCUUUGACAUACUAGAAAAAGCCACACUUAUUUGUUUCCUCUG